UACGUAGGGUGCGAGCGUUAAUCGGAAUUACUGGGCGUAAAGCGUGCUCAGGCGGUUUCGUAAGACAGGCGUGAAAUCCCCGGGCUCAACCUGGGAACUGCGCUUGUGACUGCGAGGCUAGAGUGUGUCAGAGGGAGGUGGAAUUCCACGUGUAGCAGUGAAAUGCGUAGAGAUGUGGAGGAACACCGAUGGCGAAGGCAGCCUCCUGGGAUAACAAUGACGCUCGUGCACGAAAGCGUGGGGAGCAAACAGG
rnacentral:rRNA from 1 species